UUCCCACCUGUAUAUAUUCAAGCAUGUAUUAUAUUAUCUAUCAGCCUUUUCCCCCCUUCAAACAUGUAUUUAUCAGUUUAUCUAUCUAUCUGCCUCUCCCCUUCUCUUUCUUUCCCACAUGUAUACAUUCAAGCAUGUAUUAUAUUAUCUAUCAGCCUUUUCCCCCCUUCAAACAUGUAUUUCUGUAUUUAUCAGUUUAUCUAUCUAUCUGUCCUUUCCCAUCUGUCUUUCCUUCACGCAUGUAUUUCUCAUUCAUUCAUGUCAUGGAUGCUUGCUCCUAGGAGCUCCCACCAGGGGAUGGCCACGGCAGAAGAGCGUCCAACCUUCUCUAUCCAGACACUCCCUCCUUGCCUGCUCAAAGAUCUUUCCCCCCUCUCCCUAACGUACUCUUGCACCCUAUCCCUCCAUUUCACUGGAGGUCCAACAUUCCUCAAUGUAUAUUUCCCUGAGAUUCAUCAAAGACGCUCUGCCAGCAAUUCUACCAUAUAUCACAUGCAUCAUGAAUACAUCUAUUACAACAGGUAUAAUGCCUGGAAACAUGCUAUUGUCACACCAAUAUUUAAGAAAGGAAAUCCAGAAGAAGUAGGUAACUACUGGCCAAUUUCCUUGCUCCCAGUUGUAUGGAAAAUAUUAGAAAAGAUAGUCGCAACUCAAUUGGCCCAAUUUAUGGAACGGCAUUGCCUCUUUAGCAGUACUCAACAUGGCUUCAGACCAAACUUAUCUACUGAGACGGCACUCUUACAAGUUUCCAAAAAGAUUUAUGACACCACGGACAAAAGAGAAAUAUGUCUUUGAACUCUUUGCGACCUAUCUAAAGCUUUUGACAGUGUCAGCCAUAACAUUCUGCUUGGAAAAUGUAACAAAUUAGGAAUAGAUACAUUUUGGUUUAAAGAUUAUUUGUGUAACAGGACUCAGUCUGUGUGAAUCGGGGGAAAUUUGUCCUCUACACUAGAAGGGCCUUUUGGAGUCCCGCAAGGAUCUAUUCUCGGCCCUUUGCUAUUUAACGUCUUCGUAAAUGACCCGUCACAAGAAAUUAAAGAACGUUUUGUUAUUCAAUAUGCUGACGACACACAAUUCAUUCAUACUGGUAAUACUGAAAAUCUACCUGAAGUAAUUCUUAGAACAGAACAGACAUUAGGAAAAAUUAAAAACUAUUUUAACAGGAACGGUCUCUUGCUGAACUCCAAAAAAACUCAAUGUAUAUUUCUAGGCACAAGAGCUCUGAUGUCACGAAUACCGGAUAACACCACUAUCAAAGUAGGGGGUGCCUUAGUAAAACCUUGUCAAAAUGUCAAAAACUUGGGGCUACAUUUCAACAGUAGUAACAUGUUGUUUGAUAUGCACGUGACAGAAAUCAGUAAAAAGGUAUCUGGCAUGCUUAUGUACAUCAGUCGUUUUCAAGACAUGCUCAGCAGAGAAGCCAGGCUAAUAGUGGUUCAGACACUUGUGUUAAGUCACCUUAACUAUGGGAUGACUGUUUGGGGCACCACAAAUAUCACACAGCUGAAUAGAGUUCAGAAGCUACAGAAAGUUUGACCAUGUCAGCCCACUCUUAAAAGAACUACAGUGGCCAAAUAUUACACAGAAGUGCAUUUUUGAACAGUGCAUCACAGUGUUCAAAGCACUGAAGAAGCAUUUUCCUGAAUGGCUAUUCUCUUUUCCACAAGUAGGACAAAUAGUUGACAUAAACACAAGACAACAAAAUCUCCUCUGUGUACCCAAAACACACAGUGACAUUGGGUCCCGAUCUAUCACAGUCAGAGGGCCAAAGCUAUGGAAUAACCUCCCCACAAAGGCAAAGAAUUGUCACAGUCUGCAUACCUUUAAGGUCAAUCUGAAGAAACACCUCUCGCAAGAUAGCUCAGGAAACUAAUCAGACUGAAUACUCUUAUUACAUUUUAUCAUAUAAUGUUCUGCAUGAUGUCCUAGAUAUUAGUCCACACUUUAUCUUUAGCACCAAUUAUAUACUACUUAUAUUUUAGGGAUUAUCUGUAUAUUUUAUCGCACUCCAUAUACCGUGUUCAAUAGUUUUAAGCCAGUAAAGAAUAACCAUUGUAUAAAUGGAAAUAAAGUUUCUGAUUCUCUCUCUCUCUCUCUCUCCCAUAACUUACUCACUUGUGCCCAUAAACUUACUCACCAAUGCCCAUAAACUUACUCAUCUUGCCCCCAAAAUCUUACUCACCAAUGUCCAUAACUUACUCACUUGUGCCCAUUAACUUACUCACCAAUGCCCAUAAACUUACUCACCUGAGCCCAUGAACUUACUCACCAAUGCCCAUAAACUAACUUGUGCCAUAAACUUAUUAACCUUUCCCCCAAAACUUACUCACCAAUGCCCAUAAACUUACUCACCUGAGCCCAUGAACUUACUCACCUGCCCCCAAAACUUACUCACCAAUGCCCAUAACUUACUUGUGCCCAUAAAUUUACUCACCAAUCCCCAUACACUUACUUAUUUUCGCCCGGCUGGGGAAUCGAACCCCGGUCCUUCUGGUUGUGAGCCAGACGCUCAACCCCUGAGCUACCGGGCCGUGUGUGUGUGUGUGUUGUCUUGUGAUAUCUUGCCUCAUAAUAUUUUCUCAUGAUGUGCAUGUAUGUAUUUAUGCAUGUGUGUGUGUGUGUGUGUGUGUGUGUAGCCUUGUGUGAUGGCUUCCCUUAUGGCCUGUUCUUCCACGUGUUCUGUUUCCCUCACAAUCUGUUCUCCUAUUUGUUCCGUUUCACCCCCAGACUAAAGAAUUCUGAGCACUGAUUCUGUAGCGGAAAGUGUUGGCGUGUGUCAUUGCUUGCCGCGCUAAUAUGCAUGACGCUCUCGUAAAUUAGGACAGAGGGAGACAGCAGGCAUGAACGGGGGGGCAAGAAGGAGCUGUUGAGAAGCAAAAAGAAGGAGCGGAACGACAAGAAGAAAGACAAGGGUUACGCAGCGCUUGGAAAAGACAGCUCGCCAGACGA